AUGCUAUGUGGGGUCACACAAGGCGACCCCUUCUCCCCAUUCCUGUUCAACAUGGUGGUCGAUGCGCUCGCCGCCAUCCUUGACAAGGCGAAACUUGCGGGUGAUAUUCGUGGGAUCACCUCACACCUAACAGGAGGUACUGGGAUCUCCCUUCUCCAGUAUGCCGACGACACCAUCAUCAUGGUCGAAUGCUCGGAGUCGGACAUCUCCAACCUUAAGUUCCUCCUCCUCUGUUUCCAACAAAUGUCUGGCCUCAAGAUCAACUUCGACAAGAGUGACGUGAUGGUGAUGGGCUACUCUCAGGAGGACUGCUUGAGCAUUGCCAACCGUCUGAACUGCCGCUUAGGAUUUCCCACGACCUACUUGGGGACGCUUAUUAGUGAUUCUAGGCUCAUCGUCGCGGACUUGCGCCCAACCGUGGCCAAGCUU
rnacentral:rRNA from 1 species